GGAGUUAGACUUUUGAAAACAAACAGAUCAACAGAUUAAACACCCUGAAGUUCUAAUAGCCCUAGUUAAAAACUCUUAGUUAAAAAGUAAACAAUUAAGAGAUACUCAUCAAAGGUGGACAGCUUUUAGCAUAGAAGCUUGUAAUUUUUUUUUUUUUUUUAAGGAAACCCUACUUGGAAUCCAGCUUGUCCUAACAAGAAGGAAAGAUCUGACUUCUAGUCAAUUGUUCAUAGAGGAUCAACCAGUAAAGGGCUUCCAGAAGGGACAAACACGAGGACUUCUGUGAGCUGAGCUCCGCUGCUGUGUUGGUAAAACAAAGUGCUCAACAUUAUCAUCUGAGCCAAUAUCUGUGAAACCUGCUUUGGAAAGAUUCUAGGAUCUUCCCAAGUGAACCAUGCCUGAACGACAAGCAACAGAAGAGGAAGGUUAAACUCAACCCACUCGUUGAGGUUCAGAAAGAACACAAUGGUGGAAUGUUGAAGGAAGGAGGCUGUUGGAAGGUCAGGAUUUGAAUGAGAAUGGAAAGAAGUAUUGUCUCAUUCCCCUAAUGUUCAAAUGAUCUCACUUGGUCUUAGAAGUGAAACCUACAGGGUCUGGUAAAAUUCUGAAGCUUUCCUAAAGGUUGCUCAAAAAAAUAAGAAAACAGGGGAGAGCCAUUGUCGGACAGACAAAGUGACACGCGCACACUGCCAUGUGGAUCCAUCGAGCUUUCAGUCCAGAGGCCAGUUCAGCCAAACAUUUUGCUCAUGCUUUUGAAAACUCAGUGGUGAGUACAUAAAAAUGUCUGCAGCCCAGAUGAGGUUGUUAAAUUCUUUCUUAAGAACAAGACAGAAAGGAGAAGUGAUUUACUAGAGUGUGUUGCUGGGUUUGUUUUUUAUUUUUAUUUUUGCUCUUCUAAUCCCCAAGCCCACGGCAGCCCGUCUAGUUGAAUCUUGAUUUGUUUUUGUCUCAUAUGAAUGUGAACAUCCAUCCUCCCAGCAGAAAUGGUAAAUAGCUGUACACAUCUAGGUCACGAAGUGGUCAUAAAUAACAAUCAUUUAUGGGGCUGGUGGGAGGGCAACCUUUGGGCUUAGAGAACUGCCUGCAGCAACAUUGUUCUAUGAAGUUUCCUGUAACUAAAAGAGCAAAAGCAUUGAAUCUUGGCGUUACUGUUUAAAAUUAUUAUUUUAAAGUAAUACAUGCACACAGUACAAAAAGAAAUUGAUAUGUCACAGAGUGGUGGUAUUAAACGAAAAGGCUCUAUGCCUGCCACCGUGGUAACCACUUAAAAAUGAUCAGUUUCAGGCUACACAAAUCAUACGUGAACGCUUUCUUGCAAAAAUUUCAAACCAUGCAGACAAAGCUAGAGUCCUUCUUGACGGUCAUUCGAAUUACAUUCCCCCUCCUCAGAGGUAACCACCAUUGUUAACAGUAGUGGGUUUCCUCCCAGAUCUUGACAAUCUUCACAGGUGGGCUUGUCUUGGUUCUUAUUUUACACAAAUGGUAUACUGCAUUUAUAAUCCAACAACGUGCUUUUUAAAAAAAUGUUUACUUAUUUAU